rnacentral:rRNA from 1 species
UACGUAGGGUGCAAGCGUUAAUCGGAAUUACUGGGCGUAAAGCGUGCGCAGGCGGUUAUGUAAGACAGAUGUGAAAUGCCCGGGCUUAACCUGGGAACUGCAUUUGUGACUGCAUGGCUAGAGUUUGGCAGAGGGGGGUAGAAUUCCACGUGUAGCAGUGAAAUGCGUAGAUAUGUGGAGGAACACCGAUGGCGAAGGCAGCCCCCUGGGUCAAGACUGACGCUCAUGCACGAAAGCGGUGGGAGCAAACAAGGAUU